UACGUAGGGUGCAAGCGUUAAUCGGAAUUACUGGGCGUAAAGCGUGCGCAGGCGGUGAUGUAAGACAGAUGUGAAAUCCCCGGGCUCAACCUGGGAACUGCAUUUGUGACUGCAUCGCUGGAGUGCGGCAGAGGGGGAUGGAAUUCCGCGUGUAGCGGUGAAAUGCGUAGAGAUGCGGAGGAACACCGAUGGCGAAGGCAGCCCCCUGGGCUAGCACUGACGCUCAGGCACGAAAGCGUGGGGAGCAAACAGG
rnacentral:rRNA from 1 species